GUCGCUCGCCCACUAAAAGGCCACCAUGCACUGGUGGUGUCCACUAAGCAGCAGCUGACGCGAACAGGCUGGACUCUGCUCAGCAAAACCGAUUUCGAAAGCCCCACAGGGUCUCAGCAGUCGGUCUGCACUGUCCAGACCUGUUUCCCAAAGCAGCCAGGGCGGGAACGUGUGGGAAAGAACCUUGGGGUCCCGGGUUUGGACGGGCGGAACGUCUCCGCUCCCCUGGGCUCUGCUCGCUCUCUGCCGUGUCACUCUUGCUCUGGCUUAUCACUGGGGAAACCGGAGAGGCCAGGACGCCAGGCCCGGAAUAGGAAGGGAGCAGGGAGCAGGGCCAAGGACGCGCGGAAGGUAGCGCAGCGGAGAGCGGCAGGCCCGGGCAGAGGUGCGGCAGCGCCACGUCCAGGAGCGAGGACCCCAAGCUGAAGAGGCCUCGGCUGUCUAUGGGAACACUGUCCUCCUAGCCUGCCUUCUUCCCAGGCUACCCUCAGCAGUCCUGGUUCCUCUGUCUGGAGCUGCCGCUCCGGAUAAACUUACCUUCAAGCAGGCUUGGCCUACUGCCCUCCACAGAGUCCCUCUCAGAGCGGUAAGGCCAGCUUGUAUCAUCUCUGGUGGUUCUGGGUUCAGAAUAAG
rnacentral:lncRNA from 1 species